AAGUGAAAUGUCAGGCGCCAUCAUGGUCCCGUCGGUGAGAAAUUUCGGAUCGUGACAAUAGAACAAAGACAAUAGCAAAGGAAAUGAUAGAAGGUCUCUACAAAGAACAAUAUGCAAAAUUAGAGGACUAUUGUGCAGAACUCAAGAGAAAGAAUCCAGGAUCAAUUGUAUUGUUAGAAACAACACCUCAUGAAGAGGAUGGCAGACCUGUUUUUGAAAAAAUGUACAUAUGUCUUGAGCCCUGCAGAAGAGGUUGGAUGGAAGGUUGUAGGCCACUCAUUAGGAUAGACGGUUUCUUUCUUUAAGGACCAUAUGGAGGUCAACUUUUGACAGUAAUUGGGAUAGAUGCUGAUAAUGGUAUAUUUCCUAUAGCCUACGCUGUAGUUGAUAUUGAAAAUAAGCAUAACUAGAAGUGAUUUUUAAAUUUGUUGGUGGAUGACUUGCAAAUUAGAAAUCAUGAUAACUUAUGUCUCAUUACAGACAAACAAAAGGUAAGAUUUUUUAUCCACAUAUAAUACCAAAUUCUAAUUGCUUUCAAUUAUCAAAAUUAGCCAUGUUUAUUAUUCUACUCACUUUUGUAGGGUUUGGAGGGAGCUAUUUAUGAGACAGUUCUCCAAGUUGAACAUAGGCUUUGUGUAAGACAUUUGUAUAAUAAUUUCAAGAAAGAGCACAAAGGUUUAUCGUUGAAGAUAAGAGUUUGGAAAGCUGCAAGGGCAACUCAUGUAAGUAAGUAUAGAUAUGAGAUGGAUAUGCUGGAAAAGGAGGACAAAGAAGUUAGAAAUUAGUUCAACGAUAGACCACCCAAAUUCUGGAGCAAGUCACAUUUUAGAACAACAACAAAGUGUGAUAUGCUUUUGAAUAAUCUUUGUGAGGCAUCAAUGGGACAAAACCCAUUUUGAGGGCAAGGGAGAAACCUAUACUUGGACUACUUGAAGGAAUUAGAAUAUACUUGAUGAAGAAACUGAACCAAAAGAGGGAAGACCUGCUCAAAUACCAAGGAAAUUUAUGCCCUCGAAUCCGAAAACUAGUAAAAAAAGUGAAGGAAGACUCGGCUACAUCAAUUCCUACUUGGGCUGAAAAAUUUUCAUUUCAAGUAAAGACCAUGUAUGGUGAACAAUUUAGUGUUGACUUGAGUGGAAGAAUCUAUUCAUGUAGGGGAUGGGACCUUACAGGAAUCUCAUGCUCACAUGCAAUGAGCUGCAUAUUCCAUAUAAGAGAGAAUCCAAAAAAUUUCAUACAUGAUUGUUACAAGAAGACUGCUCAAAUGAGGAUUUAUGAGCCAGUCAUUGCUCCAAUGGAUGGACCUGAUAUGUGGGAACCUACUGAUCUACUUGAUGUUAACCCUCCUAACUAUGAGCCGAAGACAAGUAAGUUGAACAAAAAUAGAAGAAAAGAGCCCGAUGAAAUUGAAGCCUCCGAGAGAAAAGUAGUUGAGAUGAAAAAACAGAGAAGAGAGAAAAAGAAAAAAUAAUCUACAACAAGUGAAAUGCAUGAUGUUACCAAAUUGAGUAAGAAAGGGAAGUUAGGGAGGUGUAGCAAGUUCUUGCAAACUGGUCACAACAAAAUAACUUGCAACAAGAGUAGCGAUUCCUCGAAUUCAACAACUCUACCUCAAGCUACUCAAACAACUCAAGAUUGGUGCCAAAAUGCUACAAGUCAAUCCCCACCCAAGUAAGCAAAUCAAUUUUGAGUCCACUUAUUGGACUGGACAUAUAAAUGAACCUUCCAAACUCAAUCUAAGAAGGCCAAUGGAGGAUGAUUCAUCUCAUAGACCUGCGCGAGCUCAAGUUGGUGGCAUUGUGUUAAAUGCUGAGAAGUAUAUGUAG